UACGUAGGGGGCGAGCGUUGUCCGGAGUUACUGGGCGUAAAGCGCACGCAGGCGGUCUGCUAAGUUUGGAGUGACAGUUGGUGGCUCAACCACCAAAGUGCUUUGAAAACUGACAGACUUGAGGGCUUCAGAGGGACACGGAAUUCCGGGUGGAGUGGUGAAAUGCGUAGAGAUCCGGAGGAACACCAAAGGCGAAGGCAGUGUCCUGGGGAGUACCUGGCGCUCAGGUGCGAAAGCCAGGGGAGCGAACGGG
rnacentral:rRNA from 1 species